GACGUAGGGCGCGAGCGUUGUCCGGAUUUAUUGGGCGUAAAGAGCUCGUAGGCGGCUUGUCGCGUCGACUGUGAAAUCUCAGGGCUCAACUCUGACAUUGCAGUCGAUACGGGCAGGCUAGAGUUCGGUAGGGGAGACUGGAAUUCCUGGUGUAGCGGUGAAAUGCGCAGAUAUCAGGAGGAACACCGGUGGCGAAGGCGGGUCUCUGG
rnacentral:rRNA from 1 species